AAGUCGUAACAAGGUUUCCGUAGGUGAACCUGCGGAAGGAUCAUUACAUGAUAGUACAGGCCCGAAGCUGUAGCAAUACACGCCCAAAGGCUCAUGUCUAUUACCCUUGUUUAUCGAGCACCUAUGUUUCCUUGGUGGGCUUGCCCGCCAAUAGGACACCCCAUUAACCCAUUUUAUUUUGAAUCAGCGUCUGAAUAAAUUGAAUAAUUACAACUCUCAACAACGGAUCUCUUGGUUCUG
rnacentral:misc_RNA from 1 species